AAAAUUAAAUAAACUUAAAAAUAUGCAGUAACUAUAAGCUAUUAUUAGUUAUAUUUCUUUCUAACAUUUGUAAGGAUUUAAAUGUAUGUUUUCAGUACACAGACUUAAUAACUGUAGCUUAGUAUAGCAGAUAUAGGCAUUCUGCUGUUUGAGAAUUUUAAGAGAUGCUCGUUCUUACUCAUUUUAAAAGUGCUCAGGUUAUCUUUGUUUGAUAUUAAUGUUUGUUUGAUAAUCUGGAAAACAUAAUAUCUGUAAGAUGGCAAAUACUUUUUCAAGCCACUGUAACACCUAAAAAAUGACAUAACUGGUUAUUUUGUCUUUAUUAUAACGGAAAUAAUAAAAGUAAUUCUAAAAAUUAUCCUGUUUUGUUACAGACGAAAACCUCUCUCUGCUGACUCCAGCAAAGGAUCCCAUACAGAUUUGAGUGGACUCCACACAAGGAAGUGUGAAACUGAUGAAACUAUCUACAUGAACGAUACAGGGCAUCUCUACACCGACACCAUGAGACACCAUCCUACACAAAAGAAUGAAAUAGAUGUUAUCUACGAGAAUUACUGAGACCUUCUGUGAUGACCUCCAAAGGGAUGUUCGAGUAAUUAUAAUCAACACU
rnacentral:lncRNA from 1 species